rnacentral:rRNA from 1 species
CCUACGGGGGGCAGCAGUGAGGAAUAUUGGUCAAUGGACGAGAGUCUGAACCAGCCAAGUAGCGUGAAGGAUGACUGCCCUAUGGGUUGUAAACUUCUUUUAUAUGGGAAUAAAAUGUUCCACGUGUGGGAUUUUGUAUGUACCAUAUGAAUAAGGAUCGGCUAACUCCGUGCCAGCAGCCGCGGUAAUACGGAGGAUCCGAGCGUUAUCCGGAUUUAUUGGGUUUAAAGGGAGAGUAGGUGGAUUGUUAAGUCAGUUGUGAAAGUUUGCGGCUCAACCGUAAAAUUGCAGUUGAAACUGGCAGUCUUGAGUACAGUAGAGGUGGGCGGAAUUCGUGGUGUAGCGGUGAAAUGCUUAGAUAUCACGAAGAACUCCGAUUGCGAAGGCAGUUCACUGGACUGCAAGUGACACUGAGGCUCGAAAGUGUGGGUAUCAAACAGGAUUAGAUACCCUAGUAGUC